AUCAUGACCUGAGCCGAAGUCGGAUGCUUAACCAACUGAGCCACCCAGGUGCCCCACGUGAGUGUUCUUUAAAGAUAUCUACCCUGAUAGAUGGUGGGGACCACCAUGGGCGGGAUCAUGGCCAGGACUGCCUCUUCCUGGUACCCAGACCCUUGUCUAGCAUACAGUAGGUACUCAAUAAAUGCGUGUCGGCUGAAUGGCCUUGGGUCAGCCGUCAGGCACAUUAGGGGGGUCACCAAAAGGGAGGUGGCCUUCCCUACCCUAUGUUCCAGGAGCAACUUAUGCUAGAUACACAGACAGCCUAUGCUCCCCAGGACAAACACAACCACUCUGGCAUGCGGGCCAUCAGGAAAAUGCUUUGCUCUGGUGGCUAGGGCUCAGGCCCCUUCGCCCUCGCCUCAUCCUGGGAGAUCACAGAGUGGAAAGUUCCUCUCUCGGCAGUUAUCCGCACCUGCUUCCCGGUGAGGGAAUCCAAGAGUAAGGGGAAGUCACUCCCAGGUGAGAGAGACCGAUGCUCAGAGGUGCACCGGUCUUAGAAAUCUACUGAAAUCUAAUAUUGUCAGGUAUCUCAGGUUCUUCCAGGGGCGGCCGCUCCCUCCACACUACCUUGCCCGUCUUUCUACCACUGUACAAUCACUGACCAAGGACAGACGGAGUGCCGCGCCCCAGGACAGGGUGAAGUCUGCACCCCAGACCUCAUCGUCCUGGCUGCUCUGGUUUUCCAAGCGAGCGGACGGGCCAUCCCGGGGAGAACCUGACUCAGGGCCGGCCCCGCAAGGCGGUUCUUUCUGGCAAGCAAAAAUAUCCGCUGGAAAGCCGCGGGCGGGCAUUUAAACCAACAGCAACAACAUCAUGACAGGGUGGAACCUUCCGCUGGAGACUCAGGCCCGAGGCGGGGGGAUGCCUUCCAACGGGCAGGAGAGUAAGGUGGCCACAGUCACCCUGAAGGUUUGGUGACGGGUUCUUAAAACCGGGUACUUCCUUCCUGAUGACCAAGCCCUCUUCUAUUUUCCGAAGGCUACGGGGUUUUUGGAAGCGGGGUUAGGAGGAACGGUCUCUCGGCAAACCUCGAACAUGCACGAAGCAAGUCCACUGGCGCUCCGUGACUUUGCUGAGGCUUUUCGGGGGGAAGGGAGGGCCUGGGGUUGCAAGCCCAGCAUUGGCAGAGCAAAUAACUGAGUGUUUACCAAGCAGCGUUCCGUGGUUUGGGGCUUGUAUAAAUAAAAGAUAGACCGAUGAGAAAGUCCAAACGGAAAGACCGGCUUGGAAUGCCUCCCUUGGCGGGGGUGGGGGCGGGCCGUGGCCGACAUUUUUCCAUCCCAGAAGGAAAAGAUAGCACUGUGUUUCCAGCACCUCUGAGGCAUGAGUCGCGGAGAAACGCUACACGCAGCGUGGGCCUCGUGCUGACAGAUUUUAUGGUGAUUUCCUGCAGCAGCCACAGGACACUGCGACAAAUGGAAAGGAAAGGGUCGCACGGGGCUCAGGCAGGAUCCUUGCCCGGGUCUGCUCACUCUGGGUCUGGAGACGUCUUCGCGUAGACACUUGGUUACGGGCGCGCCCGCGGGCAAACCACAACGCUGGGAAUCCCUCUCCUGCCGAGAUCUGUUGGUUCCGGAAAGAUCGUGCCUCCGGGUGUGAGAAACAACCAGUACAGAUCAUUUCAGUGAUUUGCCCCCAAGGUUUCCGAACUGAGAAGAAGGGUGGACGCUGACAACGGAGCAGAGGCUGGGGCAAGGCGGCGCCCGUCCCUCUGGCCUCGCGCUGCACGCCUCGGUCAGAGAAGGGCGGUGUGGCCUGGGGGGUAGGGCCAUCCCAGGCGAGGCCCCGCCGGGCCACAG